ACGAACCGUGCGAACGUUGUUCGGAAUCACUGGGCUUAAAGGGCGCGUAGGCGGAUUGCCAAGUCCGGGGUGAAAUCUUUCGGCCCAACCGGAAAAUGGCCUUGGAUACUGGCAAUCUUGAGCGAGGUAGGGGCAGCUGGAACUUCCGGUGGAGCGGUGAAAUGCGUUGAUAUCGGAAGGAACGCCGGUGGCGAAAGCGAGCUGCUGGACCUUUUCUGACGCUGAGGCGCGAAAGCCAGGGGAGCAAACGGG
rnacentral:rRNA from 1 species